rnacentral:piRNA from 1 species
UGCUCUGCCAUUUAAUCCUUACAAGAAC